ensembl:lncRNA
AUGGUAUUCUUCUUCCGACAGGUCUUCCUGCUGGCCAUAGACUUACUACUCGCAAUGACCCUCUCUUGCCUCCUUUACGCCUUCGUAUGCAUUUCCAUUGCAUUUCUGACCUGCUUCACUAUCUUCUUCUUCUUUGGAAUUAUGGAGAGGAACAUUGAUGUAAAAGGGAGGGCGAUUGUAAUCCUCGUGUCCAACAGCUCCAUUGGCAGGAUGUUUGCAAGGAACCUGGAUAAAGCCGGUUUUAAAGUGUCUGCUGCGCACUGGCCUCCUCAGAAGGAAUGGAAGACUACAAAGGAAGAGUGCUCUCCAAGCAUCGAGACAGCACAGCUCCACAUGACUGACGACGAGUAUCAGAAGAUGAUGAAAAACUUCAUAGAAAGCCACGUAUCCCUGAAAGGUGCAUUUAGAUCAGAUGGUCAAGUGUUCUGUGACCAGGAGGAAAAAGGGGGAGAGAAGUCUUAAUCGCUCACCUCCAGGAUCUCAGCUUAUACCAUCAAAUACUGUGCAAGUUCUUCGCGUCAUGUCCAAGCGCUCUGGGAUCCAGCUGCUUGAGAAAUUGCUGUGCCAUGUUGCUCUUUGGGCACGUUGCCUAGAAAUGUUGGCAUUUGCUUUGUGACUGUCAAUAUUGACUGCGGUGAGGGUGGUACACGGGAAGGAAGAAAAAAAAGUGGAGACGGACUAGACCCAACAGACUGAGAACCUAAGCUGACCUGAGAGGAGUUCACACCACCAAAGCUCUAGUCUGAUUAAAUUGCCUUAGCCACAAUUGCCAUAGUACCUUGGGCUUCAGCUAAUUACAGACGAAGCACAACAGACAGGGCUAUGCGAUAUCAGUAUUUACCACAUCAUGCCCAAAGGUUGGCUGCCUUUGGCUUUGCAAGAAGAGCAAGGCCCACAAGGCUCUCCAGUGCACCUGCCCUGCCAGCCUGCACUGAUCUAGAGUCCUUGACUUAAACUGCUGGAGAAUGGAGAAACUGCUGUUUCACAUCCAAUCCCAGCCUACUCUUGCCGUAGAUUAUUUGAACCAAGGCUUUCUUCAGCUGGCACAACAUUCUGGGGACAUACAACUCCUCCUUUCUACCCUUAUUCCAGGGACCACUCAGAGUUGUUUUCCCACUACCCGGCUGCAUUUUCCUCAACUCCCUUUCUCUCCCCUCUCCUCACAGUUUACUGUGCUACUGACCAUUGCUCAUCAUGGUUGCUUCUGUCUACUUUCUCUUUCCUUGUUUUGUACUAUUCCUCUGCAACGUCUCAGAUUUCUGCAGGAGAGAUGACAUUCAGUGUGAGCAAUGCCUCUGGCUGCACAGUACAGCCUCCCUCUGUUAAUUCAUAUCUGCUACGCUGAAGUUAGUUGUAGAAGUCCUGCUGACUUUCAUAGGGCCAGGAUUUCAUUUCUUAUGCUUUCAUCUCCACUAAGAUAUGAGCCAUCUGGAAUUCUUUGGUACUUUAUGAGCUUCUCCCUGUCCCUUAUCUGCUAAAUAGAGAUGAUAAUACCUUCCUCACACAAGUAGAGAGAUAAGUGAUACAAAUUAAUAAAGUUAAUGCCCAUGUUAUCUUAGGCCUCA